GUCGAGAAUAUUCCUCAAUGGGCGAAAGCCUGAAGGAGCGACGCCGCGUGCAGGAUGAAGGCUCUAGGGUCGUAAACUGCUUUUCUCACAGAAAAACUUACGUGAUUGUAUGUGAGGAAUAAGAGGUUACUAACUCUGUGCCAGCAGUAGCGGUAAUACAGAGACCUCAAGCGUUAUCCGGAUUUAUUGGGCGUAAAGCGCAGGUAGGUGGAUAUGUUAGUCAGGUGUUAAAUUUCCGGGCCCAACCCAGAAACUGCAUUUGAAACGGCAUAUCUAGAGGAAACGAGGGACCACUGGAACUUAUGGUGUAGCAGUGAAAUGCGUUGAUAUCAUAAGGAACACCAAAGGCGAAGGCAUGUGGUUGGCGUUUUUCUGACACUGAGCUGCGAAAGCGUGGGUAGCGAAUGGGAUUAGAUACCCGGGUAGUCC
rnacentral:rRNA from 1 species